UUGUUGUUGUUGUGUUUUGUUUUGUUUCUCGACAGCGGCCGGGGAGAAGGCCCUGCAUGAGCUGGAGUCCCUUGAAAAGAGAGUGAAGGCAAACCACCAGCUGGUCAAUGAUCCUGGGUUUCGUGAGCAGGCUAAAAAGGCUCUAGGUCUGGUCAAAAAAAGAGCCAGCAACAUGGAUGCUUCACAGAGAAAGAAAGUGGCCCGCGAAGUGGCGAAGAUACUGGGGAAAAUGGAAGCCCAGAUGGUGUAUCAAAAGCUGCAUAAGUAGAGUGACAAAGCGUCUCAAUGAAAGCAGCACAAGCGUAGAACCAGUGUGGCCGACACUAACACGCUAGUUUUAGUUCGUUCUAACAAAUAAGUUGUAAACUGAGAUAUUCCAGGUACAGACUGCUUUGCAUAGCUACAGUUUUAAAUCAGGCUUACAAGUUACAUACAUUCUCAUAAUUUCGCCAGGUGUCAUUAUACCGCCACCUCAAAAAACCUUGUUAUAGAAGCCUUCUCAAGAUUGUCUUCAACACCUAAAUAUCUGAAUUCUAUUACAUUGAAGAUAUUUAACAUUCGGUGUUGAAGACAAUCUUGCGAAGACCUCUAUAUGAACGUUUUUUUGAGAUGGCGGUAUAAUGACACCUGGUGGAAUUAUGAGAAUGCAUGUUAUGUCAAUGAAGAUGUAUCGAUUUCAUUUUUGUGACAAGUGUAAACGUCUUCUAUUUUUGACACUUUUAUGUUUAUCUUAAUUCAUAAAUCGACAAUAUGGUAACACUGUAGGAUUAUGCUUUAUUUCAAAUUUUGAAAAAGUACUAUGAAGACGUAUUUGUAGCUAUACUGUAUCUUGCUCUUGUUAAAAAACCGAAAUGCUUAUUGUUUAGUCCUAUACUCCACAUGGUAUCCGAUCCAGAGGCUAGUUUGUGCCUUGUAUUUUCGAGUUUUUCUUGGUGUCUUGGGUCUUGGGGUAUAAAGUCGGUAUCACCUGUUCUUGUUAGAGACUGUGAAGAAAAUCAGGUCAAAUAAAGCUUUGCUGCUAAAAAAUAAA